rnacentral:lncRNA from 1 species
GUCUGGCUCAUGUGUGGGGGAAGGCUGAAACAGAGCCAAUUGGCUGCCUGUCAGUGCAUAAUCCAAACAUGGCCAAGGCCCCUUGACCAGCAAUAAACCAGCUCUGGGAAAACAGACCCUGGAGCCAAGGAUACAGCUCUUGCCUCAGUAAUGAUUAACCGGCAGCCAGGGGGCCCUGGAGGUCAGGGUGAUCAUGAGAAAGGCUCCCGUAAGCCUACCCCAAGUGCAGGGGGCCCUGAGGAAGCCAGCCUGGUGUCACUACUCGCCAGGGCUUCCCACCUCCAUGGAGGGCAUACUUCUCAACCACCCAGCAGUCCCUCGCCUCUGUCACGGGGACAGGAGCCCUGGCAUCACAGAGAGAGAGAAUGGGCCCUUGUAAAGUCCAAGGCUCUGGUCACCACUGACGGCUGCCUCGCUGACACCAGACAGAGGUAAAGCUGCGAUGGGAUUGCCAAAACGGGCCUCUGCCUUCUCGGUUUUGGUAAGUUGGCUUAAACCCCAUUACCGUCUCAAGUUGACACUGAUGAAAGCUUUGUAUUCAGUUGGGCUGAGAACAGGUAACUCGGGGGACAAAACCAGCAGGUUUUACUGGUCCCAACCCAGAGAGCCAGAAGAAGCCCAGAAAUGUACAGGACUGUGUGGCAGAGAACUUGUGCCCAAAGUUGCCAAACCUCUUACCUUUGCCUGGCACUUGAGACAACCAGCUGAUAUCUGUGCAGAUUCUGCCAGAAGGCUCUGGGCCACUUGCACUGGCCCCCUGCUUCCGGGUAGAAACUCCAGCCCCCUCAGCAACUGCCACUCCAGAGUUCCUCACAUUAGGGAAGGUCCCCCUCUGCGCCCUGAUCUUUGAGACUUCAGGUAAGACUUGAAUACUGCAGAAGCUGCGAAGAGGUGGUUGGGUGGCAGAGCCUUUCAAAUCUGUGUGUUUCUCUGAAUGUAGAGAUGCGUUUAUAGUAUGUAGGGGCUGUGUUUUCCCUCAGCCAGAUUUAUUCAUU